UAGUCGGGAUAGCUCAGC
rnacentral:tRNA from 1 species